rnacentral:rRNA from 1 species
GACGAACGCUGGCGGCGUGCUUAACACAUGCAAGUCGAGCGGUAAGGCCCUUUCGGGGGUACACGAGCGGCGAACGGGUGAGUAACACGUGGGUGACCUGCCCUCAGCUCUGGGAUAAGCCUGGGAAACUGGGUCUAAUACUGGAUAUGACUCCACGGUGCAUGUCGUGGGGUGGAAAGCCUUGUGCGGCUGAGGAUGGGCCCGCGGUCUAUCAGCUUGUUGGGGGGUGAUGGCCUACCAAGGCGACGACGGGUAGCCGGCCUGAGAGGGCGACCGGCCACACUGGGACU